UCUAAUAUGGCAGAUUAGUGCAAUAGGUUUAAGCCCUAUAAAUAAAGAUAUACCUUUUAUUAGAA
rnacentral:tRNA from 1 species